AUCAUCUGUUGUUGGAAACAAAUCGUUAUUAUCUCACCGUUUCUGUGGGUCGGGAGCCCAGGCAUGGCUUCGGUGGGUGCUUAGAGUUAAAGGUGGAGAAAUUCACGAAGUUCAUGAAACUGGAGUCAAGUUGAGUCGAUCCACUUCCACGUUUGCUUUCAUGGCUGUCAGCAAGCCAUGGUGCCAACAUUCAUUCCUCAUGACGGGGAUCCUCCUCAGGCCGCCUGAGAACGCUCACGGCCUGGCAGCCAAUCACCCAAGACACAGCCCAGGAGCACGAAGUCAGAGGCACCAUCCUUAGACAAUCUCACCUCGGAGAAGACACUCUACCACUUUUAUCACCUUCUACUCAUGAGAAGUGAGUUACUAGGUGGACAGAGACAGGGUACCAUUUUACAGAGAUGGACCUGACACAAGAAGUGGCCAAAGGUUAAUCACCAAGCAAAUCCAGAAGCUGAAACUUGGGUCUCCCAGCCUUCAGCUAGGCACUCUUCACAUUCUGUAUGGCCCUACAGACACACACUUUUCAAACUGCAUUUCCAUGCACACACAGAAUUAAGGACAUUGUUUUGUUUCCCUUUGCCUUCUCCAUGCUGAGCAUUUGCCAACAUUACAUCACUACAAUGGUGGUUUGAAUAACACACAAAAGCCCAUCACAACACCUGGGGAAACUCUCCUGAAAGUUGCACAAGCAUCGUGCCAUCCUCUGGCGAUCAAGAGUUAAGUAACAUGCCCAGAACCAGCCCUGGAGGGGAAGGACGAAGCCAUCUUACUUACAGGUGGAAAGAAUCAUGGCUGUGACUCUGCAGGGAGCACACCAAACAGCCUUCAGUUCUUCAGCGACGCUCCAGUCACAAAAACACAUCUUUUAACUGAAAUCAUAGCUCGCCCGAGGUGUUUCUCACGAGCAGAGUUAACCCCACCUAUUUUCCUGUUCUAAAAACCUCAGAGAAGUGUGUGAAUGACAACCCAAUGGCCUAUAUAAGCAAGCUCCGUAAUCUCCAUCCAGAUCUCUGAGGGCGGCUGCCCUUGGUUCCUCAUUCCAAACUGUGUGGGUGACUCCAGCAAACGCCAGUUUCAAGAAGUCACAAAAUUUUCAUGCAAGAGACCUCAAAAAUCAUUUAAUCAAACUGCCCUCUCUGGACAGAGAAGGAAACCGACCCACAGAUAGGACGAGGGACACAGUGGUAGAAGCAGAAUUCGAUUCUAGGUAUUGGAGUAUAAAGUCUAGAAUGUUCUGUCCUCCUACUCAGGACUGACACUUCAAGGACCAUAUUAUGGAAACUUCAUUUUUUUUUUCCUGUGGGGAUAGAAAGCCAAUUCAAUAAUAUACCUCAAAGGUGACUGAGCCCUGGCUGAGAAAUACAAAUGCAACAUAGAUUUUUUUAAAAAAUGUACCUAGGAGUUUCACGUCAUCCCUUUGGAAAAUAUAAUCAAAAAUCAAAACUAAAGGGAACAAUUCUAAUGGGCACAUAGCAUGUGCACGUUGCCCUUCCUACUUCCUGCUUUAUAGAUUAAGAUCUCUUGAAGCGUUCUGGGUGGAUUCUUCUAUUUUUACUUCACUUUUUGCCUUCCUUGUGCUUUUGUACAAAGCCUUCUGCUACAUUUGGGUGAAAAAUGUAAAGAUUCUUUUGAAGGAGAUGUUCCCAAAUGUUGCCAGGGAGCAACCGUCUUGUUCUCCACAUUAGAAGUGCGCGCAACGAUGAGUACAAGAACUGUACUUGGUCCUCACGUUUCUUCAGCACCCCCAGCACUUGGAAUACGGCUGCUCCAGGAGGAGAAGGAAAGAUAGAAGAUAGCUUUCCGUGGAUGGACAGACCAGAAGGAAAGAGAUGGUUCUCCAGGGUCCUAGGGAGGCACCGCUCAGGGCAGCCAGCUGGACAGCUCUGCGUUCCCACGGCACCUGUGGCCCGGGGGACACCAUGGUAGUGCCCAGAGCAGCUUCAACUCCUACAGUAAGGCCCUGUGUUGUAUGUGCCUCAGCUUUCUACCCUCAUAUUAUCAAAAACAUAAAACUCCAAAAACAAAAAAAGGUGUGCGGCAAUACAUGGCCUGUCAUAUCGAUAACAGAGACUGUUUCUUCUGGGCUCAUGAGAAAUGAAGUUUCCAGCUCAGCCUGGUGUCUUGGUCAGAGAUCGUCAGAACGGUCAGAAACGCACUCAAAUAAACUUGAACAUAGGGUCUACCGUGAGGCUCUUCCAAACAAUCUCACGGAUCCAGGAACCCAAGUCCAACCAGAUCUCCAGAACCCCAUCUGGAGACAGCUCUACACACCAGGCUCUCCAUUUGUCCUGGUCUCUGCCAGAAUUUGCGCUUGCCCCUGGGUCUUGCUUGCAGUGGGGGCGGGCUCUGUUGUGAAUGUCACCUCACCAUUCUGCCCCAGAGCCCAGCACCCUCACUCACAGCAUCUGUGUCUUGGGGCAGAUUCUGAAGAUGUAGAAAGUCAUUAAUGGCUUCUAGUUCAAUCUUUUUUAUUAUUAUUUAUUUAUUUGAGAGCAAGAGAUAGAAAAGUAUGA